UGAUUAAAUCUUCUAAAUUAUUAGGUCUCUAAAAUGAACUAGUUAUGAUGAUAUCUAGAUCAUAGCUUCUCAUUAAGGUGAAUGGUAAUAGGUCCAUUAUUUAUGAUUGACAUUGCAGGCGCUAUCCGUUUGGUGUUCAUUCUGAAUGAUGGAAUUAUCAUUCAUCAUAUGAUGACUCUAUUGAACUAUCUGAUGAUGGUUGGG
rnacentral:lncRNA from 1 species